rnacentral:rRNA from 1 species
AGUGAACGCUGGCGGUAGGCCUAACACAUGCAAGUCGAACGGCAGCGCAGUAAGAGCUUGCUCUUACGGGUGGCGAGUGGCGGACGGGUGAGGAAUACAUCGGAAUCUACUUUUUCGUGGGGGAUAACGUAGGGAAACUUACGCUAAUGCCGCAUACGACCUACGGGUGAAAGCAGGGGAUCUUCGGACCUUGCGCGAUUGAAUGAGCCGAUGUCGGAUUAGCUAGUUGGCGGGGUAAAGGCCCACCAAGGCGACGAUCCGUAGCUGGUCUGAGAGGAUGAUCAGCCACACUGGAACUGAGACACGGUCCAGACUCCUACGGGAGGCAGCAGUGGGGAAUAUUGGACAAUGGGCGCAAGCCUGAUCCAGCCAUACCGCGUGGGUGAAGAAGGCCUUCGGGUUGUAAAGCCCUUUUGUUGGGAAAGAAAAGCAGCAGGUUAAUACCCCGCUGUUCUGACGGUACCCAAAGAAUAAGCACCGGCUAACUUCGUG